rnacentral:rRNA from 2 species
UACGUAGGUGGCGAGCGUUGUCCGGAAUUACUGGGCGUAAAGGAUGCGUAGGUGGAUACUUAAGUGGGAUGUGAAAUCCCCGGGCUCAACCCGGGAACUGCAUUCCAAACUGGGUAUCUAGAGUGCAGGAGAGGAAAGCGGAAUUCCUAGUGUAGCGGUGAAAUGCGUAGAUAUUAGGAGGAACACCAGUGGCGAAGGCGGCUUUCUGGACUGUAACUGACACUGAGGCAUGAAAGCGUGGGUAGCAAAC